rnacentral:lncRNA from 1 species
GAAUAAUCCCUUAACCCCCAUAUUAUCUCCAAACACUCCUAAAAAUAGAUGGGAUUAGGUAACCCCCACCUAAUCCCACCAAACUUCAACCAAACAUUAUUUUCUAUUCAUAAUAACCCAUUAUCUUUCUUAUCCCACCUACUCUAACAAAACACUAUUUUUCACUAUCCUGGACUAACUCCAACCUUCAACCAAAUACAAAAAUACUCUAACCCAACCUUAGCCCUGAACUUAACCCUAUCCCUGAAAUAACUAGUUUUUCCUUAACCCCAAAUCAAACGGUAGCUUAACAAACAUUUAAUUAAAUCCUUAACUAAGCUCUUAAAAAUAGGAA